UAGACAGAUGAUGUUGAGGUAGUUGG
rnacentral:piRNA from 1 species